CAGCAUAGAAGUAGCAAUACGUUGGUGGCGACCGGCGCACGGUGAGUAACGCGUAUAGCAACCUACCUAUCAGAGGGGAAUAACCCGGCGAAAGUCGGACUAAUAACCGCAUAAAACAGGGGCACCGCAUGGUGAUAUUUGUUAAGAAAUUCGCUGAUAGAUGGGCAUGCGUUCCAUUAGGUAGUUGGUGAGGUAACGGCUCACCAAGCCGACGAUGGAUACGGGAACUGAGAGGUUGGUCCCCCACACUGGUACUGAGACACGGACCAGACUCCUACGGGAGGCAGCAGUGAAGGAAUAUUGGUCAAUGGGCGGGAGCCUGAACCAGCCAAGUCGCGUGAAGGAAGAAGGAUCUAUGGUUCGUAAACUUCUUUUGCAGGGGAAUAAAGUGCAGGACGUGUCCUGUUUUGUAUGUACCCUGAGAAUAAGGAUCGGCUAACUCCGUGCCAGCAGCGGC
rnacentral:rRNA from 1 species